CUGGAAGCACCAUCAAAUAUCCAUGAGGGCAAAGUGACAGACUCUUCCAUAGAAAUUCUCUGGAAUCGAGCUGAUGGGAAUUUUCAGCAUUAUGAAAUCACAUGCAUGAACUGUACUGCUGCUUUCAUGGUCCAGAAGGUAGUUCAAGAAGCAGCAACAUUCUCUAACCUGGAUCCUGCGACAGUGUAUACUUUUUCAAUUUGCACUGAAAAAGAAGGUUUUAAAGACAGUGCUCCUAACGUAAAAGAAAUACAGACAGCCCCAAGUGCAGUUGAAUUUAUGAACCAUAGUAGAAACUCCAAUGCAAUAACUGUUAGCUGGCCUACAGCUAGAAGUCUUCUGGACGGAUACAUUAUUUCAAUAUCCAGCGGAAUCUUAAUGAAAGAGGAAACCCUGCCUUCCACAAAAAGGACAUUCACAUUUAAUAGCCUUUCUUCAGGGACUGACUUUUUAAUUAGUGUUAUAACUACCAAGGGACUGAAAAGAAGCCAUCCCACUGUCCUCAUGGUUAGCACUUAUCCAGACCCACCAUCUGAUUUGCUGAUUUUGGGGCAGGAAGAGAACACAAUAUAUUUGUCUUGGAAACUUCCACGAGGAGGCUUUGAAAAGUUUCA
rnacentral:lncRNA from 1 species